rnacentral:rRNA from 1 species
GGGACUGAGACACGGCCCAAAUUCCUACGGGAGGCUGCAGUAGGGAAUCUUCCACAAUGGGCGAAAGCCUGAUGGAGCAACGCCGCGUGUGUGAUGAAGGCUUUCGGGUCGUAAAGCACUGUUGUAUGGGAAGAAAAGUUAAGGUAGGGAAUGACCUUAGCCUGACGGUACCAUACCAGAAAGGGACGGCUAAAUACGUGCCAGCAGCCGCGGUAAUACGUAUGUCCCGAGCGUUAUCCGGAUUUAUUGGGCGUAAAGCGAGCGCAGACGGUUGGUUAAGUCUGAUGUGAAAGCCCGGAGCUCAACUCCGGAAAGGCAUUGGAAACUGGUUAACUUGAGUGCAGUAGAGGUAAGUGGAACUCCAUGUGUAGCGGUGGAAUGCGUAGAUAUAUGGAAGAACACCAGCGGCGAAGGCGGCUUACUGGACUGUAACUGACGUUGAGGCUCGAAAGUGUGGGUAGCAAACAGGAUUAGAUACCCUGGUAGUCCACACCGUAAACGAUGAACACUAGGUGUUAGGAGGUUUCCGCCUCUUAGUGCCGAAGCUAACGCAUUAAGUGUUCCGCCUGGGGAGUACGACCGCAAGGUUGAAACUCAAAGGAAUUGACGGGGACCCGCACAAGCGGUGGAGCAUGUGGUUUAAUUCGAAGCAACGCGAAGAACCUUACCAGGUCUUGACAUCCUUUGAAGCUUUUAGAAAUAGAAGUGUUCUCUUCGGAGACAAAGUGACAGGUGGUGCAUGGUCGUCGUCAGCUCGUGUCGUGAGAUGUUGGGUUAAGUCCCGCAACGAGCGCAACCCUUAUUGUUAGUUGCCAGCAUUCAGAUGGGCACUCUAGCGAGACUGCCGGUGACAAACCGGAGGAAGGCGGGGACGACGUCAGAUCAUCAUGCCCCUUAUGACCUGGGCUACACACGUGCUACAAUGGCGUAUACAACGAGUUGCCAACCUGCGAAGGUGAGCUAAUCUCUUAAAGUACGUCUCAGUUCGGACUGCAGUCUGCAACUCGACUGCACGAAGUCGGAAUCGCUAGUAAUCGCGGAUCAGCACGCCGCGGUGAAUACGUUCCCGGGUCUUGUACACACCGCCCGUCACACCAUGGAAGUUUGUAAUGCCCAAAGCCGGUGGCCUAACCGUAAGGAGGGAACCGUCUAAGGCAGAC